UUAGCUUUCUGCAAUGGCCUAAAAUGCUGAACUGCUUCUGAGGACUGGUCCCAGCUACACCCCUGAGCAUAAAUGACUUCGCUUCCCAUGCAGGUGGUAGCACUUGGUAACCAGGCCCUUUACCCUUGGUGCUUUAGCCUCUGAGUUCUGUCUUUAACAUGGAGAAGGUGAAAGACCAAAGUGCAGAAGAAAUCAAACAGAUGAAAAUGUGUUGUGUGAAACCAAUCGGAAUCCAGAAAGUACUGGGGACAAUUGUGUCUGCAAGGACCCUCGGCUUUGCAGAAGGUGCACAGGAUUGCUUCCUGUUCUCUGGGGUCCUCUCAUCUCUCCAAUCUAUACAUCAUAUCAAUAAUCUUACACUUACUCCUUCCAUUUAAUCAGAGUUAGUAUAUAAUGCCUCCUUCCAGUAUUCACACUAACUCUGUACUGUAAGUGAUGACUUAUGAUCUGUAUUAAUACCAGAUUGUUGUUUUAGAAGCAAUAAGUUUGCCAUACACUGAUAACUGUUUAAAAAAAAAAAGUGGAAGGCCUCUGUGACCUGCACACAAAGGUGAGCAGAGGACUGGCUUGGGCACAGUUCAUGCAGACUUGAUUGGUUUGUUCCCACACAGUGGGUGGGAGAGGGGUUUCAUCAGCAGUGAUGCCGCCUGCUAGGCAAACACAUUAGUGACAUAACAUAUUCCACCAGCUCUAGUUGGGUCCCAGAAUUUCUGUAUAAAAUUGACUGAAACAUCAGUUUGAGUCCUUCUGAAAGUAUUCCUAUUGAAUGGUAGGAUUUUAGGUGCAGAAGGGUGCUUGACUUUGGGAAGGGACCUAAGUCUGUAAUAUGAGGAGAUGCAUUUCUUUCCAUUAUGGUCAUAAGGAAGGCACUAGAGUAUAAGGGCUUCGACGCCUCCUUUGACAAGAAUGAUUUGUUUUGGAAGAGUCAUGUAGCCUUCCUUGAAACCUUUGGUUUGGGCAAUAGAAGGACAAUGGGAGGCCUGGUCCUAACCUUUUGUGUUCCAUAAUAUUGUGGUAACUCUCUUUGGGUAUCAGCUUACCUAGUAACAAGUAUUCCCAGACCAGGCUAAUCACACAUCUCUCAGGAAGUGAAAGAUCUUCAAUAUCCACUUCCCAUGCUGCUGAAGAGCAGUGCCUAUGGGGACCUUUUCUAGGGGAUUGCACACAUGGGAGCUCCAGUGAUGGGUGGAGAGAACUGAGCUCCUCCACAAGUAUUGUUUCAAUGUGUCUUUUCCCAGCCACCCUCCAAAUCUCAUUGUAUUGGUGAGACCUGUUCCCCCAUCCUAGAGAGGGAGGGCAUUGCCCACUUAAGCCCAUUGAGAUGCAGUGACUCUGACUAUUUCCAAAACAUUUACUAUUAUAACCUCUUCAGGGGCACUGAUCUCUGUGUCAUUGUCAAUUACUUGAAGUUGCUCCCUUUUCUAAUAGCCCUGGUACCUAAAGUUUUCAACUUCAGGGAGCACACGCUAAAACUCUAAAGCAAAAAGUAUGCAUUGUAACCUUCAUCCCAAGAACUAAAGUGGGAAGGAAAUGGGAUUGUACAUUCCAUUCCACUUACAGUGGAGACAGGAGUAGGCGGCAGAGUGGUUCAGCAUGGGAGGAAGGUUCAGCAUGCAGAGGGGUGGAUCAAAAGGUAUCUCCUGAAACAUAAUCAGGAGUGGGGAUGUGGACUGGCACUGUGGCAUUGAGUUAGAUAAGAGCUGCUGUGUAGUCAGCAGAGUAGCUUGCAAGGGAAUAGGAGCCUGUGCCUUGGCGCUGCUUCCUCUGAUAGCAUAGUGCCUGUCUUCACAGGUGUCCGACUGCCACAGGGAAUCUGGAAUCUCGACUUGAAUGUCAUUUUGGGAACCAGCCAGGGAAGGGCCUGUGUUGAUAGUUGCAUUCAUGCCACAUUGCCGUCCUUUGUUUCUCCGGUAUAAGAGUGGUCUUAAAUGAAGGCAGUGGCUCUCAGCUCUUUCAUUUCUAGGCAUAUUUCUUCGGUUUCCCCUUCUAGCACAGAAAGAGAAUUCAGCCCACAGUGAUCACAGAGUACAGCCCCAGAAAUCCAUAGUAUCCUGGCACUCCCACUGAGGUUGAAAAGAAAAUAGGCAAUCUUACUGACAGCUGUUGCUUAGAACCUGAAUUUUUCUCAUUCAUCUCUUUGACUUGGCUCAUUCAUUUAUUCAUUCCUUCCCACUCUCCUCAAAGAUGUGCCUCAUAGUCUUCUGAUUCAGUCCAAUCUAUUUUGGCAGGGAGCCUGAGAGCCCCCUUUCACCUUUGACAAAUAAGGAAUGCUAGGUGUACAGGGGGCCAUGACCUACCUGGACUCUGUCAGACCUUCUUGCUUCGAGUCCCUGACCUAUCCCAUCUUUCAGACUGAGAAACCUCACUAAGGGCAAGGUUUUUGAGGAAGUCAAAGCUCUCCACUUGAUAAGGUUUCCUGGUCUAUCCAGCCUAAUAUCCUCUUAAGAUUAGGAGCCAUCUUUUUCAUAAUUUUUAAAGGAUUUAUUUCUAUUUUUGUAAAAUAUUAGAAUUUCUAUUUAGCCUGACCAUAUUUUAAUGUUUUAAACUCUCUUGGAAUGCCAUUUUGUGAACUCACCAAUGUCUGGCUUUCUCUGAGCAAAUAACAAUGGUGCCUCAUAAAUUCUAUUUUUUUUCUGGCCAGAUAAUGACCUCUCUGAAACUUUAGUGGUGUCUCAUAAAUUCUGAUGUUGGGAUAUAAAUUUACUCCCUAAGUGCUUAACCAUUUAGUCCUUUAACCUACUACCUGCCUUUGGGUUACGCUUGUCAAAAUUCUGUUAUGUGUAAGUUCUCAAUACACCCUCACUUUUUUGCAACUUUCUGUGCUAUAAAUAUGUGCUCCUAGAGAGCUUCAGAGUUUUCUUCUACUUCCACGGUUUUGGGGAGAGACAACCCCGGCUGGUUGGAGUUACAAACUUGCUGUAAUCUGAAUUAAAUUGGAGUUGGUGGUCUAGACUUUACAUUCUGGUUUAACAUUUGGAGGCCCCAGUGAGAUCAGAAUGCCAAAAUCCUAAAGCCCAACCUUCACUCUGGAACUCCAGGUGCAAACCUUGAGACAUUCUAAGGCCCCCAGAGUGGGCCUUUGUUUUCACAGAUUGCUGGAGUGAACUGCCACACUAAAACAAUUAGCAAGAAAUUGGUGGGGGAGGCUUAAUUAUGUGGUGUGCUUAUAACAUCUGGUAUUUGGUUAAGAGAGAUCUCUUCAGAAGAUAGAGAAGUGUCUGUCAAGGCACAUAAAACUCCUUUUUAGGACAGUAGUGAAAUGACACUCUCCCUUCUGGUUUGGUAGAGAAUUCCUCUUGAAGGACAGUGAGGUACCUGACCCAGUAGGCACACACUCCUGUCUGGGAGCAUUUUCAACAUAUUGCACUGUUCCCUUGGUUUUGGUACCUGAUUCUUAUUUUCUUGUAUCUUGUUCUGUGUUCUUUAUGUUUUUCUGCCUUCUGUUGUGUGUCUUCUUUUGUAAAAACUUAAGAUAAUUGAACAUCAAAAUGGGUAAUAAAGGAAGUAAACCUGA